UACUUCAAUUAUAAAAUCUAAAAUUCAAUUUAUUAAUAGGAAAAUGGAGCUAAAGGGCGAGAAAUUGCUCAGCAGAAUCAAUGCCUCCACACCCUAUCUUGUGAGGGUUAUGCUAGAGCUGAUGAUAUAUUGAUGGCAGAGAAAUAGAAGAAGAGAGAAGAAGAAGCUAAGUCUGAUCCUUCCAUACUCCUUUCUCCACCAUCACCUGUCUCUCGAGAGGAGAAAUGGAGAUAUGGACAUUAGUACAAGAAAGGGGGCUAUACAAGUAAGACAGCAUGGGAGAUUGCCGAGAGGAUUGAUGCUCUUAAGGAGCAACAAGCCCAAGGAAGCUUCAUUUCAAAGGGCAGAAAUGAUAUCUUAAUAGUUGCUACAGGCAAGCCAGAGCAUCUGGAUCAUGUGAGGGACAUUAGAUAUGGUGUGGGCAUUAAAGACUACUUUGGAGCACCUGCACAUCCCAAUUCAGGAGGUGUGGUAACUAGAGAAGAGCUUGAUACAUUGAUAUCCACUGUGAGGCAGCAAAUUAAGGAUGAGUUUCAAGCUUCAUUUGUAGCUCAGCUUCUACAAAUGAAAGAGCAAACGAAGGAGGAGAUGAUGAGCAUGAUGAGCUCACGACAAGAGACAACUGCUGAACCAGUUCAUACGUCUCCUGCAUUUCAUAGUACGAAAGGGAGUAAUGUUCUUGAGCGUGUGUUAGAGGGUCCUUCUGGUGAUAAUAUUGGUGAACCAUGUGAGAUAUUUUUAAAAGAUCUUGAUAAAUGCUUGGUUGCUCUUGGUAGCAUCUACAGCUUGGGGUCAACCAUCCAUCACAAGCAAAUUCAAGAUGAUCAAGUAAGAGUGGUGGUUGCAAAUCCAAAAGUGCCAGAUGCUUUGGUUCCAUUCCCUACUGAUGAGGUGAAGACUGUGGUUGAAACUGUUGGCAAUUUUAUCCUAUGGCCCAAGAGACUUGUGAAUCUAGUUCAAGUUGUGAAGCUUUCCUCACCAAAUCUCCUGAAACUUCCACAACCCUCGUUGACUCCGCAUCAGUGAAUGAUCUUAAUGGCAUAUGAUUUAUCAUUCAAAUUCUAGAGUUUAAAAAUGGAUCUGGAGGUUGUGGGUAAGAAAGACUGAUAGCGACAAUUGAAUGGGAAGAUUUAGUUCAACUUCUGUCGAAUAAUCAACUUACCACACCAUACAUUGAACUAUUUAUGAUGUACCUUCAUCAUUUGUGCAUUACAUCAGGUAAAGGUGAUAGGUUUGAAUUCCUUUGCCUUCAUCACAUGACAAAGAAAGGUAAUACUCCAAAGUUAAGGGUCGCGUACCUCCAACAAAGAAUAUGUGAAGUCAAAAAGGAUGUUUUUAUGGCUCCAUAUGUGCACUCGUAAGGAUCAAUUUAUAAUUAAUAGUUUUUUUAAUAUGGUUUUACUUUAACUUGUAUCAUAUUUAGCAGGGACUAUUGGUAGUUAUUUGUUCUUUCAAUGAAGAGCAACACUGUCGUCU